GUCUUUGUGGUGUAGUGGUAGCACACACUCUUGGUGUGGGUGAAAUGAGGGGUCAACUCCCGACGAGGUCA